rnacentral:rRNA from 1 species
GACGAACGCUGUCGGCGUGCUUAACACAUGCAAGUCGAACGGAAAGGCCCUGCUUUUGUGGGGUGCUCGAGUGGCGAACGGGUGAGUAACACGUGAGUAACCUGCCCUUGACUUUGGGAUAACUUCAGGAAACUGGGGCUAAUACCGGAUAGGAGCUCCUGCUGCAUGGUGGGGGUUGGAAAGUUUCGGCGGUUGGGGAUGGACUCGCGGCUUAUCAGCUUGUUGGUGGGGUAGUGGCUUACCAAGGCUUUGACGGGUAGCCGGCCUGAGAGGGUGACCGGCCACAUUGGGACUGAGAUACGGCCCAGACUCCUACGGGAGGCAGCAGUGGGGAAUAUUGCACAAUGGGCGGAAGCCUGAUGCAGCAACGCCGCGUGCGGGAUGACGGCCUUCGGGUUGUAAACCGCUUUCGCCUGUGACGAAGCGUGAGUGACGGUAAUGGGUAAAGAAGCACCGGCUAACUACGUGCCAGCAGCCGCGGUGAUACGUAGGGUGCGAGCGUUGUCCGGAUUUAUUGGGCGUAAAGGGCUCGUAGGUGGUUGAUCGCGUCGGAAGUGUAAUCUUGGGGCUUAACCCUGAGCGUGCUUUCGAUACGGGUUGACUUGAGGAAGGUAGGGGAGAAUGGAAUUCCUGGUGGAGCGGUGGAAUGCGCAGAUAUCAGGAGGAACACCAGUGGCGAAGGCGGUUCUCUGGGCCUUUCCUGACGCUGAGGAGCGAAAGCGUGGGGAGCGAACAGGCUUAGAUACCCUGGUAGUCCACGCUGUAAACGGUGGGUACUAGGUGUGGGGUCCAUUCCACGGGUUCCGUGCCGUAGCUAACGCUUUAAGUACCCCGCCUGGGGAGUACGGCCGCAAGGCUAAAACUCAAAGGAAUUGACGGGGCCCCGCACAAGCGGCGGAGCAUGCGGAUUAAUUCGAUGCAACGCGUAGAACCUUACCUGGGUUUGACAUGGAUCGGGAGUGCUCAGAGAUGGGUGUGCCUCUUUUGGGGUCGGUUCACAGGUGGUGCAUGGCUGUCGUCAGCUCGUGUCGUGAGAUGUUGGGUUAAGUCCCGCAACGAGCGCAACCCUUGUUCACUGUUGCCAGCACGUUAUGGUGGGGACUCAGUGGAGACCGCCGGGGUCAACUCGGAGGAAGGUGGGGAUGACGUCAAGUCAUCAUGCCCCUUAUGUCCAGGGCUUCACGCAUGCUACAAUGGCUGGUACAGAGAGUGGCGAGCCUGUGAGGGUGAGCGAAUCUCGGAAAGCCGGUCUCAGUUCGGAUUGGGGUCUGCAACUCGACCUCAUGAAGUCGGAGUCGCUAGUGAUCGCAGAUCAGCAACGCUGCGGUGAAUACGUUCCCGGGGCU